rnacentral:rRNA from 1 species
AGAUUGAACGCUGGCGGCAGGCCUAACACAUGCAAGUCGAGCGGCAGCACGGGUACUUGUACCUGGUGGCGAGCGGCGGACGGGUGAGUAAUGCCUAGGAAUCUGCCUGAUAGUGGGGGAUAACGUUCGGAAACGGGCGCUAAUACCGCAUACGUCCUACGGGAGAAAGUGGGGGAUCUUCGGACCUCACGCUAUCAGAUGAGCCUAGGUCGGAUUAGCUAGUUGGUAGGGUAAAGGCCUACCAAGGCUACGAUCCGUAACUGGUCUGAGAGGAUGAUCAGUCACACUGGAACUGAGACACGGUCCAGACU